rnacentral:lncRNA from 1 species
GACAAAGGAAAAGGAACUCAAAUACGGCGCGUGAUUACGGGGAUUAGGGAACGACAUAACUACAGAAGAUAUCUCAAAUGGGCAAUCAAUCGGUGAAACUGCCAAAGCCAAUCGAAUCCAUCAUCCAUGGAAACAAUCAUGAUUGUAGCACCGAUUUUAGUGAAUCUUUUUUGCAAAUUUGUUCUUCAUUCUGAGUUUGAGUUCUGGCAAAUUAACAAUCAGUGAAUCAGAUUUCGAAAUCUGAAAUUACCAACGGUUGUUGGCGGACGGCUGUUUUACUGUUCAUGAGUGGCAGAUUGCUCACAUAGCAGCAAAGGCGCAAAAUCUAACUUUUAAGGCCUCAAUUUUGUAUUUCGCUUAAGGCCACCAUAAUGGUUGAGCCGGCCCUGUUUGAGAAGAAGGAAUGUGGAUAUUACUUCGAUCAUGUACCCUUUCUGCGAUGAGUAUAAGGAAACGGUGGAUCAUUUAUUCACUGCAUAUUCGGUGGCUAUUAGGGUGUGAGCGGCUGUUAGUGCGUGGUGCAAUAUUCCCCCGAUCUUCGUUUUUGAGUUCAAAGAUUUAAUGAAUACUCAUAACUCUAUACAGGUUGGGAAGAAAGCAAAAAAAGAUUAUUCUGGGGCUAGUUAUUAUUUCGUGUUGGAGUAUUUGGAAAGGUAGGAACGAGUUGGUCUUCAAUCAGAUCAGGAGAAGUCCGCAAGAUAUUAUGAUAGAGACUAAGUCGAGAGGUUUUGGUGGAUUAAAAAUAGAUCUUCAUGUAAAUAUAUUAGUUGGAAGGAGUGCUGUAAAUAUCUCAUGUAUAUGUUGUAAGUUUUAGCCCUUUGUCUGUUUGGGUCGGAGGUAUUGUUUUGUUUGGCCUUUUGCCCGUUUGG